rnacentral:rRNA from 1 species
UCCUGGCUUAGGAUGAACGCUGGCGGCGUGCCUAACACAUGCAAGUCGAGCGAUUUACUUCGGUAAAGAGCGGCGGACGGGUGAGUAACGCGUGGGUAACCUGCCUCAUACACAUGGAUAACAUACCGAAAGGUAUGCUAAUACAGGAUAAUAUAAGAGAUUCACAUGGAUUUCUUAUCAAAGCUCCGGCGGUAUGAGAUGGACCCGCGUCUGAUUAGCUAGUUGGUAAGGUAAUGGCUUACCAAGGCGACGAUCAGUAGCCGACCUGAGAGGGUGAUCGGCCACAUUGGAACUGAGACACGGUCCAAACUCCUACGGGAGGCAGCAGUGGGGAAUAUUGCACAAUGGGCGAAAGCCUGAUGCAAGCAACGCCGCGUGAGUGAUGAAGGCCUUCGGGUCGUAAAACUCUGUCCUCAAGGAAGAUAAUGACGGUACUUGAGGAGGAAGCCCCGGCCUAACUACGUGCCAGCAGCUGC